GAACAAUGUAGGUAAGGGAAGUCAGAAAAAUAGAUACAUAACUUAGGGAAAAGGAUUGGCUCUGAGGGCUAGGCCUAGGGGUCUACGUCCUCAACCUGUGGGUUGUCAGCAGUCUUCCUGAGCUGCUAUCAUGGUGAGGGCAGGUAGUCACGUACCUAUUGGGAUAUGGAUGUAGAAUGUCCCCUCACAGGGGAUUUUCCCUAGGUGGUGAACAAUUGAAUCAGAACUAGUACGGACAAGGGGAAGCCAACUUUUUAAUUAAACAAAGCAUUGCGAUGGUCCCUGUGGACGCUGACACAACUGUUGUGAGUGGGAAAUCCCCCUACGAACUAGCACUUAGGGUUUUAUCAUGCAUGGAGAAAAUACCUAAAGAUUCCUACUUUUUACCAUCAUC
rnacentral:ncRNA from 1 species